rnacentral:rRNA from 1 species
AACUCCUACGGGAGGCAGCAGUGGGGAAUAUUGCACAAUGGGCGAAAGCCUGAUGCAGCAACGCCGCGUGAGUGAUGAAGGCCUUCGGGUCGUAAAACUCUGUCCUCAAGGAAGAUAAUGACGGUACGUGAGGAGGAAGCCCCGGCUAACUACGUGCCAGCAGCCGCGGUAAUACGUAGGGGGCUAGCGUUAUCCGGAUUUACUGGG